AGGUUCAUUUGGAAAACUGGGGAACUUGAGUGCAGAAGAGGAAGAGUGGAAUUCCACGUGUAGCGGUGAAAUGCGUAGAGAUGUGGAGGAACACCAGUGGCGAAGGCGACUCUCUGGUCUGUAACUGACGCUGAGGAGCGAAAGCGUGGGGAGCGAACAGGAUUAGAUACCCCUGGUAGUCCACGCCCGUAAACGAUGAGUGCUAAGUGUUAGGGGGUUUCCGCCCCUUAGUGCUGCAGCUAACGCAUUAAGCACUCCGCCUGGGGAGUACGGUCGCAAGACUGAAACUCAAAGGAAUUGACGGGGG
rnacentral:rRNA from 1 species